rnacentral:rRNA from 1 species
UACGUAGGUGGCAAGCGUUGUCCGGAAUUACUGGGCGUAAAGCGCGCGCAGGCGGUCCUUUAAGUCUGAUGUGAAAGCCCACGGCUCAACCGUGGAGGGUCAUUGGAAACUGGGGGACUUGAGUACAGAAGAGAAGAGUGGAAUUCCACGUGUAGCGGUGAAAUGCGUAGAGAUGUGGAGGAACACCAGUGGCGAAGGCGACUCUUUGGUCUGUAACUGACGCUGAGGCGCGAAAGCGUGGGGAGCAAACAGG